rnacentral:rRNA from 1 species
GAUGAACGCUGGCGGCGUGCUUAACACAUGCAAGUCGAACGGAAAGGCCUCUGCUUGCAGGGGUACUCGAGUGGCGAACGGGUGAGUAACACGUGGGUGAUCUGCCCUGCACUUCGGGAUAAGCCUGGGAAACUGGGUCUAAUACCGGAUAGGACGAUGGUUUGGAUGCCAUUGUGGAAAGUUUUUCGGUGUGGGAUGAGCUCGCGGCCUAUCAGCUUGUUGGUGGGGUAAUGGCCUACCAAGGCGUCGACGGGUAGCCGGCCUGAGAGGGUGUACGGCCACAUUGGGACUGAGAUACGGCCCAGACUCCUACGGGAGGCAGCAGUGGGGAAUAUUGCACAAUGGGCGCAAGCCUGAUGCAGCGACGCCGCGUGGGGGAUGACGGCCUUCGGGUUGUAAACUCCUUUCGCUAGGGACGAAGCGUUUUUGUGACGGUACCUGGAGAAGAAGCACCGGCUAACUACGUGCCAGCAGCCGCGGUAAUACGUAGGGUGCGAGCGUUGUCCGGAAUUACUGGGCGUAAAGAGCUCGUAGGUGGUUUGUCGCGUCGUUUGUGUAAGCCCGCAGCUUAACUGCGGGACUGCAGGCGAUACGGGCAUAACUUGAGUGCUGUAGGGGAGACUGGAAUUCCUGGUGUAGCGGUGGAAUGCGCAGAUAUCAGGAGGAACACCGAUGGCGAAGGCAGGUCUCUGGGCAGUAACUGGCGCUGAGGAGCGAAAGCAUGGGGAGCGAACAGGAUUAGAUACCCUGGUAGUCCAUGCCGUAAACGGUGGGCGCUAGGUGUGAGUCCCUUCCACGGGGUUCGUGCCGUAGCUAACGCAUUAAGCGCCCCGCCUGGGGAGUACGGCCGCAAGGCUAAAACUCAAAGGAAUUGACGGGGGCCCGCACAAGCGGCGGAGCAUGUGGAUUAAUUCGAUGCAACGCCGAAGAACCUUACCUGGGCUUGACAUACACCAGAUCGGGCCAGAGAUGGUCUUUCCCUUUGUGGUUGGUGUACAGGUGGUGCAUGGUUGUCGUCAGCUCGUGUCGUGAGAUGUUGGGUUAAGUCCCGCAACUAGCGCCACCCUUGUUUUAUGUUGCCAGCAAUUCCCGUUGGGGACUCGUGAAAGACUGCCGGGGUUUAACUCGGAGGAAGGUGGGGGAUUACGUCAAAUCAUCUUGCCCCCUAUGUUCCAGGGGCUUUACACUUGCUUCUAUGGUCGGUACCACCCCUUUUGCUAGCCCUAUCAAGUUUACCUUAUCCCCUUAAAAUCCGGCGUUAGUUUGGAUUUGGGUCUCGCAACUCGACCCCUUGAGGUUCGAAUCCCUAUUAUAUCGCCGACCAGCAACCACCUGCUGUGAAUAAUUUCCCCGGGCCU